UCCUGGUGGCUCAGAUGGUAAAGCAUCUGCCUGCAAUGCAGGAGGCCCAGGUUUGAUCUCUGAAUCAGGAA
rnacentral:tRNA from 1 species